ACUUCCAUAACUACUCCUUAUAAUCAUGCUAAUUACAUUGACUUUUAACCUAAUUUCUCCCUUAUUUAUCUGCAUCCGUUCUUCUUCCUCCCUCCCCACCAUCAGUCGUUUUUCUCCUCGUCUCCAUCACCACUUCUUCAUCCUCAUCGCCACUGCUUCUAUUCUUGAACGAUUGGAGAUAAAUAUUUUUAAUGGGAGGACUACAAAGGUUUUUAUUCAAGAAAAUAUUUAAAAAGUUGAAAAUCAACAAGGGAGCGUCAAAUCCAAAUCGAAAGAAAAUAAUUAGGUUGACCUAAUCUUUCUUUAUAUCAGUUAUCCAUACGCAUUUUCUUCUUCCCCUGAUUCGAUUCUCCUUGCUCCUCCUCCUCUUCCUAACAAAAAAUGGAACCUAAUACAAACGACACAUCCUCCUAAUUUGAGUCUUUGUUUCGAAGCUCUGCGUAUGAAAGGAAAACGAGUGCACACUUAAAUUCCAACUUGAAUCGUCCAACUUCAAGGGGUAAUCACUACUCUGUUUUGACCUAGGGUUUGUUUCCCUCUUUGCAUCCAUCUCUAUUUCUCCGAUCUUCACCUGCACGGUAUGGACACCCCUGCUUCCCAGCACCGCCAAUGCCUUCCGACGACGCCUACAACUUUGGAGGGUCGUAUUUAUAUGCAGGCAGUAAUCUUCCGGAGCAAGAAAAUAAAACUUGUGAUCACAAAUAUUGGAAACACGAACAUAGAUUUGUUGAUUUUUUCUAGAAUUGUAAGUUAAUGAAGUAUGAUGCUAUUGCCAACAUUUUUGGAGUUGCGUUAAAUAACUGUGAUCGCAAAUAUAGAAAUACGAUCAUAGAUUUUUAAAAAUUCUUCCUAA